rnacentral:rRNA from 1 species
AUUGAACGCUGGCGGCAUGCUUUACACAUGCAAGUCGAACGGUAACAGGCCUUCGGGUGCUGACGAGUGGCAAACGGGUGAGUAAUGCAUCGGAACGUGCCCAGAGGUGGGGGAUAACGCAGCGAAAGCUGUGCUAAUACCGCAUGUGAUCUGAGGAUGAAAGCGGGGGACCAGGCAGCAAUGUUUGGCCUCGCGCCUUUGGAGCGGCCGAUGUCAGAUUAGGUAGUUGGUGGGGUAAAGGCCUACCAAGCCGACGAUCUGUAGCUGGUCUGAGAGGACGACCAGCCACACUGGGACUGAGACACGGCCCAGACUCCUACGGGAGGCAGCAGUGGGGAAUUUUGGACAAUGGGCGCAAGCCUGAUCCAGCAAUGCCGCGUGCGGGAAGAAGGCCUUCGGGUUGUAAACCGCUUUUGUACGGAACGAAAAGGCUCUGGCUAAUACCUGGGGCUGAUGACGGUACCGUAAGAAUAAGCACCGGCUAACUACGCG